AGGGCGCGCUCCGGAGUCACGUGACCGGGACGCGCCGUUCUUCCGUCGGCCAUUUUAGGUGGUCCGCGGCGGCGCCAUUAAAGCGAAGGAGGAGGCGAGAGUGGCCGCCGCUGCUUUACUUAUUCUUUUUUUCAGCGCGGCCGGGGAGAGUGCGAGUGCGCGCUGCGCGAGAGUGGGAGGCGAGGGGGGCAGGCCGGGGAGAGGCGCAGGAGCCCUUGCAGCCACGCGCGCGCCUGGCCUUGUGUGUGUGUGCCUCGCGAGGUAGAGCGGGCGCGCGGCGGCGGCGGCGGCGGCGGGGAUUACUUUGCUGCUAGUUUCGGUUCGCGGCAGCGGCGGGUGUCGUCUCGGCGGCGGCGGCGGCGGCAGUAGCACGAUGUCGGAGGAGCAGUUCGGAGGGGACGGGGCGGCGGCGGCGGCGGCAACGGCGGCGGUAGGCGGCUCGGCGGGCGAGCAGGAGGGAGCCAUGGUGGCGGCGGCGCAGGGGGCAGCGGCGGCGGCGGCGGGGAGCGGCGGCGGCGGCGGCGGCGGCUCGGCGGCCGGAGGCACCGAGGGAGGCAGCGCCGAGGCCGAGGGGGCGAAGAUCGACGCUAGUAAGAACGAGGAGGAUGAAGGCCAUUCAAACUCCUCCCCACGACACACUGAAGCAGCGACGGCACAGCGGGAAGAAUGGAAAAUGUUUAUAGGAGGCCUUAGCUGGGACACUACAAAGAAAGAUCUGAAGGACUACUUUUCCAAAUUUGGUGAAGUUGUAGACUGCACUCUGAAGUUAGAUCCUAUCACAGGGCGAUCAAGGGGUUUUGGCUUUGUGCUAUUUAAAGAGUCGGAGAGUGUAGAUAAGGUCAUGGAUCAGAAAGAACAUAAAUUGAAUGGGAAAGUCAUUGAUCCUAAAAGGGCCAAAGCCAUGAAAACAAAAGAGCCCGUCAAAAAAAUUUUUGUUGGUGGCCUUUCUCCAGAUACACCUGAAGAGAAAAUAAGAGAGUACUUUGGUGGUUUUGGUGAGGUUGAAUCCAUAGAGCUCCCCAUGGACAACAAGACCAAUAAGAGGCGUGGAUUCUGUUUUAUUACCUUUAAGGAAGAGGAACCAGUGAAGAAGAUAAUGGAAAAGAAAUACCACAAUGUUGGUCUUAGUAAAUGUGAAAUAAAAGUAGCCAUGUCAAAGGAGCAGUAUCAGCAACAGCAGCAGUGGGGGUCUAGAGGAGGGUUUGCAGGAAGAGCUCGUGGAAGAGGUGGUGGCCCCAGUCAAAACUGGAACCAGGGAUAUAGUAACUAUUGGAAUCAAGGCUAUGGCAACUAUGGAUAUAACAGCCAAGGUUACGGUGGUUAUGGAGGAUAUGACUACACUGGUUACAACAACUACUAUGGAUAUGGUGAUUAUAGCAAUCAGCAGAGUGGUUAUGGGAAAGUAUCCAGGCGAGGUGGUCAUCAAAAUAGCUACAAACCAUACUAAAUUAUUCCAUUUGCAACUUAUCCCCAACAGCGGGAACUUCAUUGCAGGCCCUGUGUCGCGCUGACUUCACGAUUCUCACAGGCCCGCUCAAUGCGGACAGGGUACGAGAUGCUCACGCUCUCGAAUGCUGCCGUUUGGUGGUGAAGCAGUAUUUUCCAAUUUGAAGAUUCAUUUGAAGGUGGCUCCUGCCACCUGCUAAUAGCAGUUCAAACUAAAUUUUUUCUAUCAAGUUCCCGAAUGGAAGUAUGACGUUGGGUCCCUCUGAAGUUUAAUUCUGAGUUCUCAUUAAAAGAAAUUUGCUUUCAUUGUUUUAUUUCUUAAUUGCUAUGCUUCAGUAUCAAUUUGUGUUUUAUGCCCUCCCCAAUCCCCCAGUAUUGUAGAGCAAGUCUUGUGUUAAAAGCCCAGUGUGACAGUGUCAUGAUGUAGUAGUGUCUUACUGGUUUUUUAAUAAAUCCUUUUGUAUAAAAAUGUAUUGGCUCUUUUAUCAACAGAAUAGGGGAAAACUGAAAAUGUUUGUCUUGGACUCAAGUCACUAGAAGCAUAAAUUUGGAAAAAAAAAAAACAGUAAACUUUGUCUGAUUGAGGGCAUGGUUAAAAUUUUAAAUGUUUUUAGCAAAAUCUGAUUUUGCCCAAGAAUCCCUGUCUGAAUUGGAAAUGACUUAAUGUAGUCAAUUUGCCUGUUGGUUGUUUCAGUAUUUUCUGUAGCCAUUAAGUUUUAUGAGUAACUUCUUAGAUACCCGCGUUUUUCUUCAUGUGUAUUGUGCUUUUUAAAAGAACAAAUCUGGAAAAAGUGCAAGAACAUCUGCACAGUGUUUUUAAGCUUCCAUUAAAUUAGGAAAAAAAAAAAAAGGACUUAAGGAAAUCUGUUAAUUUCAAUAGAAAUGGAGCUAGUUCAGAGAGGUUUUUUUUUUAGCUUUGGUGGAUGAGGGAAGAUUUAAAAAUGCAUACUGUUUUCCUUUGUGUGUUUUCAAUUAUUUUCUUUUCUGUUUACUUAAAAGUCAAUUUUUGGGGGUUAGGGCUACUAACUGAGUCUAGGAUUUGAAGGUAAGAUGCCCCUAGAAAUUCUGUUAUUCUAAAGGUGUGUGGUGAGGUGUAAAUGAUGACUUCAGGAUGAAGUCAGGAUCAUUUGGUUUAAGUGGAAAUUAUACAAAUUGUUAAGUCUUACGCUUUUAGCAUUCAGAACAUUAAUUCUAUCAACUUGGAUGGAAAAUUCUUUGUAGUUGCUCCUGGAGUGUCUGGUAACAGGUUCAGUGCGGGUAAAUUGUAAGUUUGAUGAGUCCCUUGGAACCAGACUUGAGAAUAGCUGCUAGACAGUCACACGAGAAAUGUGCAGUGGUUGUGUGGUCACACGCCGUUGAGUGUGUGGUGUUGAAUUGUGUCUUUUAAGAAUUUGAUCCCCUCACUAGACAUUUUAAUGAUUAAAAACCAGUGUUGUCAAGUUGAGAGUUCAUGAGAGACAUCUAAAAGGGGGGCCAUGUAAAUUAAUUACAAAAAUUAAUGGAAUACAAAAAUACACCUAUUUGUUUACAUACGCCUGCUUUUGUAUUAUAGUGGCAGUGAUGUACUUAAACCUGGAAAGUUUCAAAUAAUUCUUGGCCUAUCACAGAAAGUUUGUUAUCUUGGAUCUAAACCAAUCACUUGACUCAAUCAGUUGAAUAUGUUAAGCUAGAGUACUUCAUUCAUUAUGCUUAUUUUACAUAAGGAUCUCACAUCACAAACUUGAGCAGUUUUAGCAUCGUUCAUGAGCUGCUAUUAGAUUAAUCUUGAUCCUGUAAUAGGUUUAGUGUUUAGACAGGUGUAAUUAGUAGAAAGUAGGAAGCCAUUGUCUUCAGAUUUGAUUUUAUUUUGUUAAUUAAUUUUGGAAGUCAUACUCCUGAACUGACUAAAUCUUUCUCCAAAGAAUUAUAGACAAAUAAUUGGUUUUUGUGAUUAUUUUGUUUCCAUUAAGUCACAGUUAAAAUUCUAUUCUCAGACCCAUUUUAGCUAUUAGGAAUUGACCUAGACAUUUUUCUGGCCGCUGGCCACUGAUUUAUUUCUUAAACUUUUGUUGGGAUUUAUGUAAAUCUUAAUUGUCAGCUUCGUUUUUCUCAUUUUACAUUUUCAGUCUUAGCCAGUUGCUUUCCAGAAUUCUCUUUGUCUCUCGAUUAUUCCUUUAUUUUCCUAAAUUGUUUACUUGCCUUGGCUUGCAUGUCUUCCCACAGCGCUGAGACCUAGGUGUCUUCAACACUGGAGUUAAUUCCUAGUUAGGUUGGAUAGAGAGGUUUGCUGAGAGUUUGUUGGUAAUUUGAAUCUAGGUCUUACAUGAAGUCUUUUAAGUAGGGUUUACCCUCUCCCUCAACUGUCUAGUCUAAGCAGCAGUGGCUUCUGUUGCACAGACUUACUCUUCAGUUCUGGGAAAUGUGAGUAGUUCACUCACAUUUAUAAAGAACUUCUUGGGAUGUGUGUGGUCCCCUGGGUCUUUGUUGUUGGUCCUGAGCCCUGGGCAACUUUUUUCCUAAUUUCCACUUUCUACAAUUUAAAUGAAAAACAAUUCAUCUUGGAAUUUCUCCGAUGCUCUUCUCCAUCCUGUUCUAAUUAAUCUUACCUGUGCCCUUCAUCUUUUUUCCUCCUCUAAGGCUUUACUGACAGGAUAAUCCUUUAAUCUCAAUCGUGGGAAGGCUGAAGUGGAUCACUUGAGCUCAUUUCAAGGCUGACCUGGGCAUUCAAAAAAACUCAGCCUAAAGACAGAACACUUUACAAAGGCACUUUACAUUACAUCCUGUUGCUUGGACUUCUUCCUGUUCAGAAAUUUCAUCGGACGCUAAGUGAUCCUUGGCUCACACUUUAAAAAAUGAACUUCUAUUCUUCAUUCUCUGGUCAGGCUUGCUGGAGUUUUCCAUUCUGCCUGAAGGAUAAAAUCCCGAGUUGCAGUGUUCUCAUCUCAAAGAGGGAAGAAGGCAGGUGGAUGUGUCCAGAGAACCACUGCAACUGCUUCAGAGAUACUAGUUUCUUGCCAGGAUGGGAGAGUCCAUUGGCUGCUGGAAGAUCUGGCCGUCUUACAUUGACCUCAGACUUUAAACCAGUCCUGUGUUCUCUACCCAUAUGUCUACCAGUUACUUAGGCUACCACAUCUUAGGUCAUUGGGGGCUCUGGAGGGGUAUUUUGAAAUCCCCUCCAUGCUCACAGAAUACUCGUUUUCUUAACGUUUGCUCAUAAACUCUUAAACUUACUUCUUAUUUUAUGCCUCCCACCACCUGCAUUAAAAAAAAUCCCUGGUAUUUAGUAGAAUUUCAGGAAAGUAAAUGGGUGUGUGUGCAUGUUUGUAGGUGUAGGGUCGUUAGUGGUGAGAAGCCUGAGGGAAAUAAAGCAGGUAAUUUAAAAUGUUGACAACUUAUUACUCUUUUUGAGUUGUAGUUCAGUUACAGGAACGCUUUCUUGGUCGACUGUUAGGUAGCUUUGAUCUUAGUUCAGGGUAGACCUGUUAGUACUGCCAAUCCCACUUACCCUCAAGCAAUGAGCUUUCUGGCUACCCUGUCCUGAGUCAAUUUUGUUAUCUUGGUUUACUAGGUAUCCACUAUCAGAUGAGUUGAUUUCUCUUCCUGGGGUUGGUUCUGUUUGUCCUUUUUAACUUAGUAUGUAUUACAGAGUCAGGCCGUGCCGCUGUAUUUACUCUCUGUGCACAGGGAUGACAAUUGCUUCAUUGUAUGCUGCUCCCAAGUUAGAAUUCAGUGUGUUGUGGAGAAGGCAGCUCACCCUGAGUAAGUUUGUCUUUAAGUUUCAUACUACAGUAAAGUUCUAUAUUAGAAACUUGUUUAGUUUGUGUGCUUUUAUGCUUGGAAUAUUUCUUUAGUUAAGAUUGCCUUGUGCUUUUUGUAUUCUGUGUUUAGGAUGUUGAGGUAUUCGGAUUCUUGGCAACCAAAAGGAUUGAACCCAGUAUCUAGCACAGUGUUGGUGUUGACCUAUAAACAUAAUGCCUUUUUUGAUGUGGGGGUGGUUUUAACCUGAAUUGUUAGGCUCUAGGUCCAUGCUUAACACAGUAAUAAUGAAGUUAAUUUAUUUUGGAGUGAUUUCCUAAUAGUGUGAUGGAUUUUUUUUUUCUUUUUUAAACCAAUUUUUUUGGCAAGGCUGAAAAAAAAAGGGUACAUCUUUUAUUCACCGCUGGCCACAUUAAAGCUGUUAACAGUUUAGCAUAGUUUAGAACUCUUAUCUGAAAAUUUCCUUGGGUAAAAUGAUUCUAACCGGCUAAAUACACAAUUGUGCAAAUUCAAUUUAUUGUUGAAAUUUGCUAUCAAUUGCCUAUAAUCUAGUAAUUGGAAGAAGGUUGAUUAUAAUGUACUUCAUAGAGGUGUGUAGGCCACGUACAUCUGUGAAUUGUAACGCAGUGGUGCCUGGGAUUCUUUUUUUCACAUAAACUCCCAUUAGCUAUGCUAAUGUAUUAAAGACCUGUGCUCAAAGAUAGAAUAAACGUGCUGUUCCAUGAGGUGUUCUAGUUUUUGCUCAUAUCUCUAUAAAGACAAAGAUACAUAUUUUAUAAAGUAAUCCUACAUCUAGCAUGGAAGAAAAAUAUUCAAGAUUGUUAGCAUUCUAGUGAGUGGCCGUAGUGGGGAUCACACUGACUUCAGUUUUUAAAUCCUCUACAGGCAAUAUGCAUCCCUACUGUUUGUACCUUGACCCUCUUAGCAGUGAUGUGAGUUAUCCAUUGCAUUAUGAAUUGAUUAACCACUGGCUGACUGAAAUUGUCUUGCUGUUGAACUCUUGAGUUGGACUGGUUGUGUAUUUACCCUGUUGUUCUGAGCACCUUAAAGUCUUAAGGAUGUCUGGUUGUGGCAGCUUUAUUGUAAAUGGCCUUAGGUAGAGAGUCUUGGGAUCCAGGGAGCUAUGUGAUUUAGGGAAGAUGAAGGAUGUACUUGUAAGGGCAGGGGGAAGACCUUAGGAAAUUGUACUAGGGCUGGGCUUGUGCUAAAGGAGGGAAGCCCUGAGUUUAUUCCCCAGUUUAAAAAAGAGUACAUAACAGUGUUUGAGAAUUAGAUUCUGUGUAAAGCAAAGGUGUUAGAGCAGUCCAAAUUUGUUAUUUUAAACUUAAAGUGGGAGGGAUUUUCAUUAAUUAUACUGAAAAGGUUUUAGAAUUCUAUUUUGGGAAACUUGAUGUUGGCAGCAUCACUUCAAAAGUUAAUUUGUAUCUAUUUGUAAUUGAAUUGGUUGUAUUCUGUUUGCACUCUAGAAUUUGAAGGCAAGGUUACUUCCUUGCCUUUAAUUUCUUUUAGGAAAAAAAUACUGGAAGAACUUAAGAGAUCUGUUAAUGCCAGUACUUGAAUGUGACAUUAACAUGUCAUGGACACUGCUUUAAAUAAAUACUUGAGAAAAGGAAUUACAUAAUUGCCUUUUUUGUUGUUGUUGUAUGAAUGGGCGUGAUUAUAUUGAGUUUAAUUACAUUUUUUAUACAACUGGUAUGAGACUGAAAUGGAAUCCUUACUAAAAUUUUUGGAAGAUGGCCUUUUGAGUAUUAGAGAUGGCUAAAUCAGUAAAUAAAACUUUGAAACAGAAACUUGUAAAUUACUUCUACAAUCACUGAUCUAUAAAGCAUGCUACUGUCAAUCAGGUUUAUGUAUUAAGACCUAUCAGCAUGUCUUUUUUAGUACUUGGUUGACUUCAUUUUAAAUUAUAAGAUAUUCUCUGUACCGUUUACCAUUUUCAGAACUUAUUCUUCCCAGACCAAUUCCACUGGGACUGUUUCCAUUGUAGAGGCUUCCUUACACUUCAGAUGAAGCUUACAGUGGGCUUUCAUGAGGUUUUAAUUUGCACUAAAUUUUAUUUUCUGAAAGAUCACUUAAUGUUUAUAAUGUAGUGCUUUUGUCUUACAAUUAAACUUUUAUAGCACUCA